rnacentral:misc_RNA from 1 species
GCAAACUUGGUCAUUUAGAGGAAGUAAAAGUCGUAACAAGGUUUCCGUAGGUGAACCUGCGGAAGGAUCAUUAUCGAGUAUUUACCAGGCUGUAGCUGGCCCUCCGAGGCAUGUGCACGCCUGGUUCAUCCACUCUACACCUGUGCACUUGCUGUGGGCUUCUCAAACCGCUGAAGCGGGCGCACCCGUGCGCUCGUGGGGGCGUCUUUGGGGGGUCCAUGUUUACCACAAACCCAAAAGUAUUAGAAUGUGCAUUGUGCGAUGUAACGCAUGUAUAAACAACUUUCAGCAACGGAUCUCUUGGCUCUCGCAUCGAUGAAGAACGCAGC